rnacentral:rRNA from 1 species
AGGAGCCUGUCCUACAAUCGAUGAUCCCCGCUACACCCAACCAUUUCUUGCCUUAUUCAGCCUGUAUACCUCCGUCGCCAGCCCACCAUGUGAACGUUAGUGUUUUUGGCCUAAUUAUCAGCCUAAUAAAUACGUCAGGUCAAGGUGCAGCCUAUGAAAUGGAAUGAGAUGGGCUACAAUUUCUAAUUUAGAACACACGGAAACUCUAUAUGAAGUAUAGUUAUUGAAGGUGGAUUUAGUAGUAAAAAGAAAUUAGCGUGUUCUUUUUAACCAGGCGCUGGAACGUGUAC